UACGGAGGGCGCAAGCGUUGUUCGGAAUCACUGGGCGUAAAGCGCGUGUAGGCGGCUCUGCAAGUCGGGUGUGAAAUCCCGAGGCUCAACCUCGGAACUGCACUCGAUACUGCUUGGCUCGAGUCCCGGAGAGGGUGGCGGAAUUCCCGGUGUAGGGGUGAAAUCCGUAGAUAUUGGGAAGAACACCGGUGGCGAAGGCGGCUCACUGGCCCGUUUCUGACGCUGCAGCGCGAAAGCGUGGGGAUCAAACAGG
rnacentral:rRNA from 1 species